rnacentral:snRNA from 1 species
GGAUGUGAAGAUGAGCUGCCCCCUCUGUUGAUCUGUAGUGUUGGUUUCACUGAUGUGGCUGACUUAGGCGGGUAUCCCCUUUCCUUCCUCACCAUUCCAUGUACGUCCUUUCCAAAGCUGUACACAGUCCGAAAGGAAAACUUCCCCCAACAGAGGAGGAGCCUUCUUCAGUCAAGGGUAUAGGAACAGGGGCACCCCUCAGCAAGAGCUUCCAAACGAGCUCCCAAGGUCCAUCUGUACCGUCUGUAGGAUGCUGCAGGGCAGUCAUGCUUCCAAGGCUCCAGACAUAGCCAAAUGACCUGCUGCAUGUGGCAAGCUGCUUU